UACGGAGGAUCCAAGCGUUAUCCGGAAUUACUGGGCGUAAAGAGUUGCGUAGGUGGCAUAGUAAGCAGGGCAUGAAAUCGUGUGGCUCAACCAUACAGACAUGUUCUGAACUGCUAAGCUUGAGGACGAGAGAGGUAACUGGAAUUCCUAGUGUAGGAGUGAAAUCCGUAGAUAUUAGGAGGAACACCGAUGGCGUAGGCAGGUUACUAGCUCGUUCCUGACACUCAGGCACGAAAGCGUGGGGAGCAAACGGG
rnacentral:rRNA from 1 species